rnacentral:rRNA from 1 species
CAGCCGCCACGGGAAUACGUAGGUGGCAAGCGUUGUCCGGAAUUAUUGGGCGUAAAGGGCUCGCAGGCGGUUUCUUAAGUCUGAUGUGAAGGCCCCCGGCUCAACCGGGGAGGGUCAUUGGAAACUGGGAAACUUGAGUGCAGAAGAGGAGAGUGGAAUUCCACGUGUAGCGGUGAAAUGCGUAGAGAUGUGGAGGAACACCAGUGGCGAAGGCGACUCUCUGGUCUGUAACUGACGCUGAGGAGCGAAAGCGUGGGGAGCGAACAGGAUUAGAUACCCGCGUAGUCCCUGUCUCUUAUAC